rnacentral:rRNA from 1 species
GACGAGCCGCUGGCGGCGUGACCUAAUACAUGCAAGUCGAGCGAGGCGGAACCAACAGAUUUACUUCGGUAAUGACGUUAGGAAAGCGAGCGGCGGAUGGGUGAGUAACACGUGGGGAACCUGCCCCAUAGUCUGGGAUACCACUUGGAAACAGGUGCUAAUACCGGAUAAGAAAGCAGAUCGCAUGAUCAGCUUUUAAAAGGCGGCGUAAGCUGUCGCUAUGGGAUGGCCCCGCGGUGCAUUAGCUAGUUGGUAAGGUAAAGGCUUACCAAGGCGAUGAUGCAUAGCCGAGUUGAGAGACUGAUCGGCCACAUUGGGACUGAGACACGGCCCAAACCCCUACGGGAGGCAGCAGUAGGGAAUCUUCCACAAUGGACGCAAGUCUGAUGGAGCAACGCCGCGUGAGUGAAGAAGGUUUUCGGAUCGUAAAGCUCUG